UGGGGAAUAUUGGACGAUGGGCGCAAGCCUGAUCCAGCCAUGCCGCGUGAGUGAUGAAGGCCUUAGGGUUGUAAAGCUCUUUUAGCGGGGAAGAUAAUGACGGUACCCGCAGAAAAAGCCCCGGCUAACUUCGUGCCAGCAGCCGCGGUAAUACGAAGGGGGCUAGCGUUGCUCGGAAUUACUGGGCGUAAAGCGCACGUAGGCGGACUCUUAAGUCGGUGGUGAAAUCCUGGAGCUCAACUCCAGAACUGCCUUCGAUACUGGGAGUCUUGAGUUCGGGAGAGGUGAGUGGAACUGCGAGUGUAGAGGUGAAAUUCGUAGAUAUUCGCAAGAACACCAGUGGCGAAGGCGGCUCACUGGCCCGAUACUGACGCUGAGGUGCGAAAGCGUGGGGAGCAAACA
rnacentral:rRNA from 1 species